CCCUAGUAUAGUCUUCGAAAUACAAAAAGGAGGACGUACAAGUGUUUAAGUUACGUUUAUUUGUAAUACUAGUUUCACGAAUAAAAUACAUCGACUAACGUUGUUGAACUUGACAUAGUUGGCGCGAAAUUGAGGAGCCAAAUGCUUUCGACGAAAAGCUAUGAUACGUGCCACUACGCUACAUAUUUUCAUACAUUAUUUUCUACCGUGCGUUCGGAUAUUAUGAAUUUUUAGAGAACUCGGUUUAAGACUUACGUUUGAAAAGUAUAAUUUAAUCGAUAGUUUAUCGCCACGUUUAAUAGUCUUUGGAUUAUUUGCGAAAAUAGAAUCGAUAGACUUUCCGUUUAAAAAAAUCGGUGAUGAACUUUAGAAUGUUUAUUUUUAUCCUUUAGAAAUGAAAUCAUAGCGCCGAAAGGGAACCUGACAUCAAUUGAACGCCUCUGUGUAUUUAGAUUGUGUAUAUUACCCGUGACAGUAAACUGUCUACAUAGGAGAACGAGGAAUAUUUAUACAGGUGUUAACAAGCAGCUAGUUUCCCUUCUAUAGACUGGCACAACCCUAGUCAUUUAAGUCGUUAAUCUUUAAUGAGCGUGGGUAUUACUCACAUACGUAAAUGUCACUGAGUUUGAAAAUUGGUAAAUUCAUCGUUCCAUCGAUGUCUAAUUUUAGAAUGCCAUCAUAGCGAACGCUUUUUUUACGCAAAAUACAUAAAAAGUAAGCAGAAAGAACGAAAAAUAUCGCAAAUCAGCUACAUUGAGAAAAUUAAGGUUAGAUAUUUUAGUCCACCAGAACAAGAACAGCAUUGGAUGAAUUUAACUAUAUUGUUCAUAAAAUGAAGUAUAAAUACUUUACUUUGACUGAUGAUUAAUAAAAUAUUAAUUAUUCUUAUCUGUGUUUGUGCAACAGUAAAGAAUGGUUAUUCUCUUUUUUAACUAGUAUACCAAAUCUUUAAGGUUACCUCAUGAAAACAUUUUAAACAUUGUAACAAAAACAAUUCCGAUUGAAUAAUUUUUACAAACAAUUACAAGAUGAAAAAUCACAAAAAGCGAACAUUCCUUGCUUUCCUUCUUUUCCUUUGUAUGUAAUUCUAGCGAUUCACGAAAGUAUCUGAACAUUCCUAGAAACUUGUUAUUUAAAUAUAUAGUACAAAACAUUUUGAAAUCUCAUUAAUACUAACUAAAUGGGGCUAUUAUGGUUAUAUCGCUAAAAUUUGAGAUGGGUUUGAAAAUGUAUAUAGAAGUUACCGAGAUAUUUAUUGGAUAGCAUAGCACUUCGCAAAGGUCGCUAAAGUGUUUGAACAGUCAAUUGUGAACUAGUUGUGUUUGCAUUAAUAAGCCACGAUAUUUAAUGAGACCACUUGUAGCGUUGAUUGUACGUUUAAGACUGUUGUUCAUGCUGCAUACUAAUUGUCCACUAAGUGUAUGUUUGCAAUAAACGUUUUGUAACUUUUACAUACAUUUUCGGAUUGCUUUCAAUUCUUACUGUUAUAAUCACGAUAGUAGUAUCUCGUUACAAUGCUAAAGCAAUCUCACGAAGUUUCGUAUAAUGCACAUGAUAUAUUGAUAAAAAAAUUACGCGGUAAAUGUUCCAAUACUUUUGCGAGCCUCUAUGCAUGUUGUCUGGGUAACUCAUCCGCCAUGUUUGAUUUUGGAUCGAUCAUUCUUUUGAAGUUCGACUAAUCGGCGAUGAAAACGAGUAGUACACGCAUUGAUAUGGUGAAUAGACGGGUUAAAUGGGAAUAAACUGGGCCAUAGUGUAGGAUGCAAACUCGUAGGAAGAACAUAUUCGUUCUGUGACUGGAAAUCUAUAUUUAAACGCACUUAUUCCUCGUUGAACAUUUUCAAACUAGACGCGAUGCUUGUCUCGGUGCUGACAUAAGCACUAUUGUUAAUUCCUCGGUAAAAUAUUGAUGUGCAAUAACUCAGCUAGUGUUCGAUCGAUGUUCGCGGUUGCAGUUUAAUAACCAACGAAUCUGAGUCACUCCUACUGAUUCUUAGUUUUUAACAACACAUCGUUAAAAAUGACAUACACGAUUCAUUUUUAAACAUGAUUCAUAAAUAUUAAGAUGUACCUUGCCAGUUAAAAAACAAAAAUUGAAAAAAAAAAUUUUUUCGUGCUUCCUUUUUAGUUUCGUACGUAUAGAAUAUCGUAGUAAAGGGAUUUUUUGACAUUUUUGUAACUAGGGAAGUGACUAAAAAUGGCCGCCCGUUAUAAUCGUAAUAAAAAGGUAUUUCUUGGUGUGUCGUGAAAAAAGGACAUACAGCAAAAAAUACCUCUUUUGAUAUUUGUCAGAUGGUAAUUUAUCAUCGAAAAAAGGCUAAAUCGGAUGUAUAUGCAUCGAGUGGAAUUAGUUGAACCGAUUACGUGAAUCAGUGAAAUAUAGGGCAUACAGCGAUAAAUGCGAGAAACACGCAUCAUCCAGAUGCAAUCGAUUCAGCUGCCCCCUUGAAUUAUCUCACCUUACACGAAAAAAACUGAGAUCCCUAGACGAAUAUUAUUCAGGUGAUACUAAAUGAACGAAGAAAAAUUCGUUUAAAGCGACCCACUGAUAAUCGUGCGAAUGCUACAGUUUAUCAACGUUAAAAUUUUCAUGACAUACUACUUAAAUUUCUCACGAAUAUGCCGUAUUUACAAUAUCAGAUUAAGAGGUUAGAGGAAAAGAAAGAAGAAAUGAUGAAAAAACAAAUUUUUGAUGAAAGAUCUAGCACAAAAGGAUGAAUUUUUUUUUAGAGGAAACUGGAUUCGAAGAAGAUCCUUACGUACCUAGAUGUAAUCGAUUCAGCUUCGCAAGAGUUACGUUUAGUUAUGUUCAAAUUAGACACCAAAACAGGAAAGUAAUAAACUAGAAAUCCCUAGACUUUACA